UGUGGGAGCGAGCCUGCUCGCGAAAGCGGUUUAUCAGUCACCGUUGAUGUCGACUGACAGAUUGCAUUCGCGAGCAGGCUCGCUCCCACA
rnacentral:misc_RNA from 1 species